UGUAAGCGUAUACCAAAGUUGUUGCAGUUAAAACGCUCGUAGCCGGAAUUUGGCAGUUCCGGAUGUGUGCACGUCGUGUGCGCACUUCGCGGGGAUUGCUUUUGUGGUCUUGCGUAGGAUGAGGCACUUUUAUUAGUGAACGUCCUCACGCAACCACUUUUUACUGUGAGAAAAUCAGAGUGCUCAAAGCAGGCAUUUGCCGUGAAUGUAUUAGCAUGGAAUAAUAGAAUAGGACUUGGUUCUAUUUUGUUGGUUUGUUGGGACUGAGUAAUGAUUAAGAGGGACAGUUGGGGGCAUUUGUAUUUCGGUGCUAGAGGUGAAAUUCUUAGAUUACCGAAAGACAAACUGCCGCGAAAGCGUCUGCCAAGGAUGUUUUCAUUGA
rnacentral:rRNA from 1 species